GUGGGGAAUCUUCGCAAUGGGCGAAAGCCUGACGCAGCCAUGCCGCGUGAAUGAUGAAGGUCUUAGGAUUGUAAAAUUCUUUCACCGGGGACGAUAAUGACGGUACCCGGAGAAGAAGCCCCGGCUAACUUCGUGCCAGCAGCCGCGGUAAUACGAAGGGGGCUAGCGUUGUUCGGAAUCACUGGGCGUAAAGCGCACGUAGGCGGACCAUUAAGUCAGGGGUGAAAGCCUGGAGCUCAACUCCAGAACUGCCUUUGAUACUGAUGGUCUCGAGUAUGGAAGAGGUUGGUGGAACUGCGAGUGUAGAGGUGAAAUUCGUAGAUAUUCGCAAGAACACCGGUGGCGAAGGCGGCCAACUGGUCCAUUACUGACGCUGAGGUGCGAAAGCGUGGGGAGCAAACAGGAUUAGAAACCCGUGUAGUCC
rnacentral:rRNA from 1 species